UGGCUUUAUACUAAAAUUUCGAUUGAUAAAUUUAUUUCUCUCUUCUCUAAAAUGUGAACAAUUAAUAAUGUAAUGAAAUUCAUCUCCAAUAUCUAGCUUACAUAAAUUAGACUUUCUUUUUUCCCUUUCUAUAUUGUACCAUCUUCCAAGUUCGACUGGAAGUUUAUGGUUACAUAUUCUAAAUUUACAUAAUGUCAAAAAAUCUUUUU
rnacentral:lncRNA from 1 species